UUUCUGGGGACUGUCACGGGGUACUAACUUCAGAAGAAUUGGUGUCUUUGGUACCAAGAAUGCUUGAUUGUCCAUCUCCAAGGGAAUCUACAGCAGAAUGCGAAGGGAAAGACAAACAAGAAAAUACUCUACUCUAAAUGAGAAGUGCUGCAUUAGGACUGCAAUGGCAACUUUCAUCGUGAGGACAGCAAAUCUCAUCCCAAUGCAGUUCCGGGGACCAGCACCAAAGGGCAGACUCUUUCAAUCCGCCCGCCAAGAGGAUACAGCCUUUGUGUUUCGUUCAGUACCAUGUCAAGAUACUCCAGUUGCAUGAUGGCAUCAUAGCUCUUUCAGAAACAGUAACUUAAAACCAGCAUUUUAAAAACCCAGACAUAACUCAAGAUCAUCUAGAAUUCGCAAGACAAAGCCCUAUUUGUGUCUGGAGUGGGUCCAAGGAUCUCAACGGGACUUCGGGCUGUUGAAGCACUGAAGGGCUCUUUGUGGACUGUCAUGGAUAUAUUUGUGUCAGAACCAUCCCAAAAAGCUUCCCACUGGUAAAGGUUGGAGAGAGUAUGGUGCGAAUUCUCUUCCACUGUUCAUCCUGUGCCAAUGAAAUUGCAGUCUCCAGCACGCCACUUAGAGGAAAGACCUAGAGAUGGCAAGGAAACGAGAAUAAUAUGGCAGUCAUACAACUUCUCUAGUAGCGUCAGGACUGGCUGCAACACGCCCCAGCCACGGCACCUCAGUGCCAUCCUGUAGAGGCUUGCGAAAUCAUCUUCAGGUUGGGCUCCAGGAUCUGGUCUGAGAACAUGAUGCAGCCACCCUGCUGAAGCCCAGUGUGUUUAGUUCUGGUCAUUGCCUGGAUGGGAGACCACCUGAGAACCCCACGAAAGCUUCCUUGGAUUCCAUGAGGGAAGGAAGGUGGGAGCAGUCCUUGCCUGUCAGUACUGUCUGGCAUCAUCCGGUGAAAGGGGUCAUCUAAUAUUGCCUCUCCAUCUUCAGUCUCUGCUGCAGUGGGGCCAGGAGCCACCUCAAAGAGGAAGUGUCUGAGUCAAACAUACUCCCGGAAGGAUGCCCACGAGAAGAGUGAGAAUGCACUUGGAAGGGUGGCUGAUGCAAAACCAAGAACUAUCACCACCACCUCUUCACAUCUGGUGCUUCUCCGCUCAUAACAACUCUGCAGGGGCAACCUGUUGGGCCAUGCUGUCCCAUCCACGGUCUGUGGGUUCCUGCUGGGUGUCCUGGCUCUCCCUGGCAAGUGUGUAGGGUCCCAGCUGACUUUACCCCGGAGCUGUACUGCCUCCAUCUUCUUGGCCCCCCGAGAGGGUGAGUACUUGGGCCCGCCCGUGGCCUGCGGGAAGGUCCAACACAUGCUAAACAAAUGCUUAUUAUUAUUUUAUUAUCCAUUACACUUGCUCAGUAACAUUAAGUGUGCAGACUGACAUGCAAAAAAAAAUGACCUCAUGCCAAAAAAAGAUGCAAAAAAAUAACCUCAUGCAAAAAAAAUAAAUGACCUCAUGCAAAAAACGAUUGACCAGACUCAUGUUUAUAGUGCCGAAACCUGAUUCCCUGACACAUCCUAAGGACCUGCCAUUUUGAUAGCACCCAUCUCGUGUUUGCUUGUUUAUUUAGCAUAUUUACAUAUACGACAAAACUGUAAGGUAGGCCAGAUGGAUUACAGAUGGGAAACCGAGGCUGAAGGAAAGUAAUUUCCCUCCAAGCCAUCUGUUGAAUUCAAGGCUGAGCAGCAGAAACACUACCCAGUAAUACCACUCAGGUUUCUUUGCUUGCAACAUGACUUCAAUGCAAGUAAAAGUGGGAGAAAACAGUUACAGAAAGAAAGAAAGAGAAAGAAAGAAAGAAAGAAAGAAAGAAAGAAAGAAAGAAAGAAAGAAAGAAAGAAAGAAAGAAAGAAAGAAAGAAAAGUUAUCCUUAAAGAACUGAAAAAAAUGACACCAGGCUUUGCAGCGUGGGAAAGUUGACUCAGAGCUAUGCCGCAUCGUUUCUAGACUUGCAGCUUAUAACAAUGCCAUCAUUUUGGAGAUGCAUGACUCCUGAAUUCUCAUAAUGCUCCUAUGAGAAACUAAUCUGCAAUAUUUCCAUCUCUUCUAGCAUUUUCAU